UAGUAUAUUGAUAAUAAUAAAUUAGUGAUUUGUAAGAAGUCACAUUAUUAUUAUUAUUAUAAUUAUUUUUUUUGAUUAUUUUGAAGACAUAUAUGAAAACUAAUAAGUAAAAAACUUGCUAUGUAUGGUGCAAAAUUCUCUGAUCUUAUAUUCAGUUCGCUAAUUCUUUUCAAAAUUCAGAAUGUGUCCAUUCUUCAGAAUAAUGAUGGGAGAUAUGUAUUUACAAUAAAUAUGUUAACAAAAUGUACAUAUAUGCAACUAACACAUGUGCAUAUAUCAAUGUAUGUGAAUCUGGAGCACCUGAGUGGUGUAACAAAAUGCUAAUCAAUAAAAUGCUAUUCAAGGGCCAGGAGUGGAAGAUUCUGUAAAUUGAAUGCAACACUUGAUCUGUUGUGAGUUCUGACAGUAUCUGAAACUUAGCACAUCAGGUGAGGGCUGCAUCUCCCCCUGCAUAUGGGCAUCAAGAGGGUGCAGAUGCCACAACAAAAAUGUGUGUUGUCCACUAAGGACAAUGCAGUGCUUCAAGUGCACUUCAUGUCAUUAACUACUAUUAUCCAAAGAGAACGGUGAACACUACAUUUCCAACUCAGAUUGCUACACCCCAUGUGACCAAGGUUUUCUUUUUUCUUUUUUUCUAAAUGUUUGGAUUACUUGUUCAUAAUCUUACUUGUUUAUUCUCUGCAAAAUAAAAAUUUAAAUUUAAUAUGCACAUUUGUGUGUGUUUAUAUAUAUAUAUAUAUAUAUGCCCAUGUAUAUGAAAGGUGUUGCUAAUACCACAUCAGUUUUUGCUACUAUCACCACAACUUGCCAUCCACUUGAUAAAAUGUUUUUAGUUUUUUCUUCUUCCAAUGAAAAAUUCUUCAUAUAUAUAUAUAUAUAUAUAUAUAUAUAUAUAAUCAAAUUAUAAAGAAAAUCAAUGCUUAAUUUUGUUUAAGGAAUAAAGAAAGAAAGAAAAAAGACCUUGAUCAAUUGGGUUUGAGUAAUGUCAACUGGGGAUGUAGCAUUCAAAAUUAUCUAUAAUUAAAACAUGCAAAAAAAAUCCUUAAAAUAAAUUUUUAUUUUUUCUUUUAAUAGG
rnacentral:lncRNA from 1 species